ACGGCUACCUUGUUACGACUUAGCCCCAGUCAUCGGUUUUGCCCUAGGGCGCUGCUCGCGCUCACGCACUUCAGGCACUCCCGACUCCCAUGGCUUGACGGGCGGUGUGUACAAGGCCCGGGAACGUAUUCACCGCGCCGUGGCUGAUGCGCGAUUACUAGCGAAUCCAGCUUCAUGGAGUCGGGUUGCAGACUCCAAUCCGAACUGAGACAGGCUUUCGGGUUCCGCUCCCUGUCGCCAGGUGGCUUCCCGCUGUACCUGCCAUUGUAACACGUGUGUCGCCCCGGACGUAAGGGCCGUGCUGAUUUGACGUCAUCCCCGCCUUCCUCGCAGCUUGCGCCGGCAGUCCCGCCAGAGUCCCCAGCUUUGCCUGUUGGCAACUGGCGGUAGGGGUUGCGCUCGUUAUGGCACUUAAGCCGACACCUCACGGCACGAGCUGACGACAACCAUGCAGCACCUCGUCGCAGGUCCGUAGACGGGCAUCCUUUCAGACACCCUUCCUGCAACGUUUGAGCCCGGGUAAGGUUCCUCGCGUAUCAUCGAAUUAAACCACAUGUUCCUCCGCUUGUGCGGGCCCCC
rnacentral:rRNA from 1 species